rnacentral:tRNA from 1 species
GCCUGGGUGGCUCAGUCGGUUAAGUGUCUGACUUUGGCUCAGGUCAGGAUCGUGGGUUUGAGCCUCGCUUCGGGCU